rnacentral:rRNA from 1 species
AAUAUUGCGCCAAGGGGGGAAACCCUGACGCAGCAAACGCGGCUGAGAGGAGAAAGGCUUUAGGGUCGUAAAAUCCUGUCAGAAGAGAAGAAAAUGGUUUAGACAAUACCCUCCCUCUUUGACGGUACCUUCAAAGAAAGCACCGGCUAACUCCGUGCCAGCAGCCGCGGUAAUACGGAGGGUGCAAGCGUUGUUCGGAAUUACUGGGCGUAAAGGGCGUGUAGGCGGACCAAUUAGUCGGAUGUGAAAGCCCUGGGCUCAACCCCAGGAAGUGCGCCCGAAACCAUUGGUCUUGAGAUUUGGAGGGGAGCGGGGAAUUCCCAGUGUAGAGGUGAAAUUCGUAGAUAUUGGGAGGAAUACCGGUGCCGAAGGGGACGAUCUGGCCGAAUACUGACGCUGAGACGCGAAAGCGUGGGUAGCAAACAGGAUUAGAUACCCUGGUAGUCCACGCUGUA